rnacentral:rRNA from 1 species
CCUACGUGUGGCAGCAGUGAGGAAUAUUGGUCAAUGGCCGAAAGGCUGAACCAGCCAAGCCGCGUGAGGGAUGACGGCCCCACGCGUCGCAGACCUCUUUUGCCGGGGAACAAAACGCCGGACUCGUCCCGUCCUGAGAGUACCCGGCGAACAAGCAUCGGCUAACUCCGUGCCCGCAGCCGCGUUAAUACGGAGGAUGCGAUCGUUAUCCGGAUUGAUUGGGUUUAAAGGGUGCGCAGGCGGGCCUUUAAGCCGGCGGUGAAAUCGCGGGGCUCAACCCCUCCCCGCCGUCGAAACUGGGGGCCUUGAGUGGGGCGGAGGCACGCGGAAUGCGCGGUGUAGCGGUGAAAUGCAUAGAUAUCGCGCAGAACUCCGAUUGCGAAGGCAGCGUGCCGUGGCGCAACUGACGCUGAGGCACGAAAGCGUGGGGAUCGAACAGGAUUAGAUACCCUUGUAGUC